rnacentral:rRNA from 1 species
AGUGAACGCUGGCGGUAGGCCUAACACAUGCAAGUCGAACGGCAGCACAGUAAGAGCUUGCUCUUACGGGUGGCGAGUGGCGGACAGGUGAGGAAUACAUCGGAAUCUACUUUUUCGUGGGGGAUAACGUAGGGAAACUUACGCUAAUACCGCAUACGACCUACGGGUGAAAGCAGGGGAUCUUCGGACCUUGCGCGAUUGAAUGAGCCGAUGUCGGAUUAGCUAGUUGGCGGGGUAAAGGCCCACCAAGGCGACGAUCCGUAGCUGGUCUGAGAGGAUGAUCAGCCACACUGGAACUGAGACACGGUCCAGACUCCUACGGGAGGCAGCAGUGGGGAAUAUUGGACAAUGGGCGCAAGCCUGAUCCAGCCAUACCGCGUGGGUGAAGAAGGCCUUCGGGUUGUAAAGCCCUUUUGUUGGGAAAGAAAAGCAGCAGGUUAAUACCCCGCUGUUCUGGCGGUACCCAAAGAAUAAGCACCGGCUAACUUCGUG